UAACAGAGUAAAAGAUAAGAAAUUCUAAAUUAAACAGAAUGUGCAAUAAAGGAAGCUUAUACAUUAGAUGUCUCUACAGGAAGUGCUUAUGAAUGCUGUGUAUAUCACAUGCAGAGAGAUGUGGCUGCAAAAACCAAGUGAAUUAACUGCUAAAUGGCAGAGAAUUGAGCAGUGAGACGGCAGGUGCAUAAUCUAUACACCAGAGCUGCUUCAUUAAGCUAAAGUUGCUUUGGUAACUAUAGUGCACCUUUAAUGUGGUGGCGGCUUGGAAUGCGAUUUUUGCCGCAAACGAGCAAGAUUAAAGAAAGGUAAAAAUUGGGCAAAAAUACAUGGGGGUGGGGGGGAGGGUAGCGUUUAGGACAAAGAGAUGGGGUGCGCAGUUAAAAAAAAAAAAAAAAAAAACUGGUUAGACCCUGUGACAGAGACGUUUUGUUGUUAAGGUCAAAAUGGCUGAACAACUCCCUAAGUAUGCUAUGCUUCCUGUUUGGCUACAGUGGCCUUAAAUUUGAAAUUCUAUUUAAAAUCUCAAUUUGAUAAAUUAUGUAGGGUGACUUUGCAGAUCCCCAAGAAACCAUCAGUAGGAUUUCGAUCGCUUACUGCCAUUUAUACAAAAUGUAUUGCACUAACAAGUUCAUAUUUCCUAGGUCUUAUCAGAACAAUGUUUCAUUAUGAGACCAUCAUCUAUUUGCCACUUGAUGUAGAUGUCCUCCAGUAACACAUUUACUCUGAUACAAAUAAUACUCAACCACACAGCAGCAAAAAUGCUAUUCAUUGCUUUCCACCAAUUUUAAUAAUGUGGAAAGCGUGCCCUCUGUUUGAACCAAAUAGUAACUUUUUUAAGCCCCGUAGGGACCCAGCUAUCAUGCCAGACAAGUUCUCCCCACUUAAAACACAUCUAGAACUAGCAUUCUUUAAAUAGC